rnacentral:rRNA from 1 species
UUCAGAGGGUGCAAGCGUUAAUCGGAAUUACUGGGCGUAAAGCGUGCGUAGACGGUUUCGUAAGUCGGUUGUGAAAUCCCCGGGCUUAACCUGGGAACUGCAUCCGAAACUGCUGGACUAGAGUGUGGUAGAGGGCGGUGGAAUUCCAGGUGUAGCGGUGAAAUGCGUAGAUAUCUGGAGGAACACCGAUGGCGAAGGCAGCCGCCUGGGCCACAACUGACGCUGAGGUACGAAAGCGUGGGGAGCAAACAGG